AUUAUGUUUAUUAUUUUGAAACGAACCACUGUCGGAAUUUAAUAGUAGGUUCAUUAUAAAUUGUAAUUUGUAGUAAAAAUAAAUUAGUGUAAUGCAGAUUUUUUUUUGAUAAGAAUUUUAAUAUCAAGUUUUGACGAAAAUCGUAAGUAUAAAAGUCUUUAAAAAUACUUAUAACCGAAUUCCACACAGAAAUCGUUUUCGUUGGUAAUGAUUAAUCGUUAUGUACAGAUAUACUAUAAAUUUCCCUCUAUAUCCUACCUUCCCAACUUCUCACCUACAACAGUGGCCUACCCAUCGUUGUUAGUCUGAAGUAUGUUCGUAUAUUUUUUUACCUUUCUCA